rnacentral:tRNA from 1 species
CCGCUUGUAGCUCAGUUGGUAGAGCAGCUGGCUCUUAACCAGACGGUCGUAGGUUCGAAUCCUACCAGGCGGA